UUUCCAGUCAUGUAGCUUAGCUCUGGAGGUUGCAAUUCGGGUUGCAAAUUUAUUGAGAGUUGGCAACCAUGGUUGCCAAUAUAGUUUUGCCAGCUAUGGGUUGCCAACUCUGCCACCACUGGUUAGUACUAUGGUGGGAGACAUGGGAUUAUUGCGUGUUGUAGUUUUUGACAUUUUUUUGUUAAUUUGAACUGUUUUAUAUUUAUNUCAAUGUUGGCUGGGGCGGCAGGUAAAGCUUCGUUUUACCUCCUUUAUGGGGCGGCUAUGCGGUAUCAAGCCAUACUUAACCCGGAUUUCACUUAACUGUGAGUUGACGGGAGAGGUGUUAGAAUUGGCGGGCUCGACUGGAUGGCGGGAUGCCUGGUAGGUCGGUUCAAGCCCGCAAGGGGUAUCAUACUAGGCGAGUGGUCUCUGCAGCCUUAUCAUCAUUUCUCGGCGAUCGGCUCUGGUAUUCACUGAAGUAAAGCUCUGCUGACGAUCUCAGUAUCCUUACACUCUCAGAAACACCAGGCGAGCACUGGAGUUCUUAGGCCUAGUGUGACCUCGAAUACUUGUUUGUGUAACCGGAAAGCCACGUGCCUUGGGGUUUGAUUCCCCCUGUCUUCGGUCUGGUUGACAGGACCGUGUAAAACAAUUAAUACUCAAAGACGAUUAGAUACCGUCGUAGUCUUAACCAUAAACGAUGCCGACUAGGGAUCGGUGGGCUUCAUUUUGAACCCAUCGGCACCUUAUGAGAAAUCAAAGUGUUUGGGUUCCGGGGGGAGUAUGGUCGCAAGGCUGAAACUUAAAGGAAUUGACGGAAGGGCACCACCAGGAGUGGAGCCUGCGGCUUAAUUUGACUCAACACGGGGAAACUCACCAGGUCCAGACAUAGUAAGGAUUGACAGAUUGAGAGCUCUUUCUUGAUUCUAUGGGUGGUGGUGCAUGGCCGUUCUUAGUUGGUGGAGUGAUUUGUCUGGUUAAUUCCGAUAACGAACGAGACCUUAACCUGCUAAAUAGUUUCAUGAACUUUGGUUCAUUGUAACUUCUUAGAGGGACUAUCUGUGUUUAACAGAUGGAAGUUUGAGGCAAUAACAGGUCUGUGAUGCCCUUAGAUGUUCUGGGCUGCACGAGCACUACACUGAUGAAACCAGCGGGUUUAUAACCUUGCCGAAAGGUCUGGGUAAUCUUGUGAAAUUUCAUCGUGCUGGGGAUAGACCAUUGUAAUUAUUGGUCUUCAACGAGGAAUUCCUAGUAAGCGCGAGUCAUCAGCUCGCGUUGAUUACGUCCCUGCCCUUUGUACACACCGCCCGUCGCUACUACCGAUUGAAUGGCUUAGUGAGGCCUUCGAAUUGGUGUUCACCGGCCGCAAGGUUGGAUGACGCUGAGAAGUUGGUCAAACUUGGUCAUUUAGAGGAAGUAAAAGUCGUAACAAGGUUUCCGGAGGUGAACCUGCCGGAGG
rnacentral:rRNA from 1 species